rnacentral:misc_RNA from 1 species
GAUGAAGAACGUAGCGAAAUGCGAUAAGUAAUGUGAAUUGCAGAAUUCAGUGAAUCAUCGAAUCUUUGAACGCACAUUGCGCCCGCCAGUAUUCUGGCGGGCAUGCCUGUUCGAGCGUCAUUACAACCCUCAGGCCCCCGGGCCUGGCGUUGGGGAUCGGCGGAAGCCCCCUGUGGGCACACGCCGUCCCUCAAAUACAGUGGCGAUCCCGCCGCAGCUUCCAUUGCGUAGUAGCUAACACCUCGCAACUGGAGAGCGGCGCGGCCAUGCCGUAAAACACCCAACUUCUGAAUGUUGACCUCGAAUCAGGUAGGAAUACCCGCUGAACUUAAGCAUAUCAAUAAGCGGAGGA